rnacentral:rRNA from 1 species
GACGAACGCUGGCGGCGUGCUUAACACAUGCAAGUCGAACGGAAAGGCCCUGCUUUUGUGGGGUGCUCGAGUGGCGAACGGGUGAGUAACACGUGAGUAACCUGCCCUUGACUUUGGGAUAACUUCAGGAAACUGGGACUAAUACCGGAUAGGAGCUCCUGCUGCAUGGUGGGGGUUGGAAAGUUUCGGCGGUUGGGGAUGGACUCGCGGCUUAUCAGCUUGUUGGUGGGGUAGUGGCUUACCAAGGCUUUGACGGGUAGCCGGCCUGAGAGGGUGACCGGCCACAAUGGGACUGGGGUACGGCCCAGACUCCUACGGGAGGCAGCAGUGGGGAAUAUUUCACAAUGGGCGGAAGCCUGAUGCAGCAACGCCCCGUGCGGGAUGACGGCCUUCGGGUUUUAAACCGCUUUCGCCUGUGACGAAGCGUGAGUGACGGUAAUGGGUAAAGAAGCACCGGCUAACUACGUG